AUUGAACGCUGGCGGAAUGCUUUACACAUGCAAGUCGAACGUCAGCACGGACUUCGGUCUGGUGGCGAGUGGCGAACGGGUGAGUAAUGUAUCGGAACGUGCCCAGUCGUGGGGGAUAACGAAGUGAAAAUUACGCUAAUACCGCAUACGAACGAUGGAUGGAAGCGGGGGAUCGCAAGACCUCGCGCGAUAGGAUCGGCCGAUAUCAGAUUAUGUAGUGGGUGUGGUAAAGGCCCACCAAGCCAACGAUCUGUAGCUGGUCUGAGAGGACGACCAGCCACACUGGAACUGAGACACGGUCCAGACUCCUACGGGAGGCAGCAGUGGGGAAUUUUGGACAAUGGGCGAAAGCCUGAUCCAGCCAUUCCGCGUGCAGGAUGAAGGCCCUCGGGUUGUAAACUGCUUUUGUACAGAACGAAAAGGUUUCUACUAAUACUAGGGGCUCAUGACGGUACUGUAAGAAUAAGCACCGGCUAACUACGUGCCAGCCGCCGCCGUAA
rnacentral:rRNA from 1 species